GUCUACGGCCAUACUACCCUGAACAAGCUUGUUCCCGUAUGAUCUCGGAAGCUAAGCAGGGUCGGGCCUGGUUAGUACUUGGACGGGAGACCACCGAGGAAGACCAGGUGCUGUAGGAG
rnacentral:rRNA from 1 species